ACAUGCCUACAUCAUAGCGUUAAUGCACCAGAUCCCAUUAGAAAUCCACAAUUAAGCGUUUUCAUGCUAGAGUAGUACUGGGAUGGGUGACCGCCUAGGAAUUCCUAGUGUUUUACAUGCC
rnacentral:rRNA from 1 species